UACGGGGGGGGCAAGCGUUGUUCGGAAUUACUGGGCGUAAAGGGCUCGUAGGUGGCCAACUAAGUCGGACGUGAAAUCCCUCGGCUUAACCGGGGAACUGCGUCCGAUACUGGAUGACUUGAGUUCGGGAGAGGGAUGCGGAAUUCCAGGUGUAGCGGUGAAAUGCGUAGAUAUCUGGAGGAACACCGGUGGCGAAGGCGGCAUCCUGGACCGACACUGACGCUGAGGAGCGAAAGCCAGGGGAGCAAACGGG
rnacentral:rRNA from 1 species